CGGAGGAAAAGAAACCAACAGGGAUUGCCUUAGUAGCGGCGAGUGAAGCGGCAAAAGCUCAAAUUUGAAAUCUGGCACCUUCGGUGUCCGAGUUGUAAUUUGAAGAUUGUAACCUUGGGGUUGGCUCUUGUCUAUGUUUCUUGGAACAGGACGUCACAGAGGGUGAGAAUCCCGUGCGAUGAGAUGCCCAAUCCUAUGUAAGGUGCUUUCGAAGAGUCGAGUUGUUUGGGAAUGCAGCUCUAAGUGGGUGGUAAAUUCCAUCUAAAGCUAAAUAUUGGCGAGAGACCGAUAGCGAACAAGUACAGUGAUGGAAAGAUGAAAAGAACUUUGAAAAGAGAGUGAAAAAGUACGUGAAAUUGUUGAAAGGGAAGGGUUUGAGAUCAGACUCGAUAUUUUGUGAGCCUUGCCUUCGUGGCGGGGUGACCCGCAGCUUAUCGGGCCAGCAUCGGUUUGGGCGGUAGGAUAAUGGCGUAGGAAUGUGACUUUGCUUCGGUGAAGUGUUAUAGCCUGCGUUGAUGCUGCCUGCCUAGACCGAGGACUGCGAUUUUAUCAAGGAUGCUGGCAUAAUGAUCCCAAACCGCCCGUCUUA
rnacentral:rRNA from 1 species